UGUACAUAUAGGCUUUGUAAAGACAACAUCCACAUUCAUCAGUUUCUUAUUUUGGUCUUUUAUUUGGCCUUGAGCAUGCUGCAAAUACAAAUUUGUGCUCUAUCUUUUGCCAUCAAACACAUGCGUGGUGGAACCACCGUCCACAGACAUCACAGGAUAUCUUUAGUGCAUAAACAUUUGAACAUUUGUGUUAUAAUGUAAACAUCAAUGUUAAUUCCUUGACCAAUAUUAACUUGGGGGAUAAUAGUGUUUUAAAGAGAGUGCUUCCGUACUUGCUACUUUGGGGAACUUUCAGCCAUUGAAGAAAAUGUAAACAAGGACUGCAAUUUAUUACAUCUAAGAGUAUGUAAACUAGAGAGGUUAACGAACCACAUGUGCUGAUCAUGACCUUGUGACAUCAUGUCAGUGUAUCUCUUAGAGGAUCUCAUUGGAUAAACCGAACAUCCCAAAUAAAGCUCAAUUUUGGUAGCCUAUUUGCAUAGGAGAAUCCCGAAUGAGACAUCGCUCAAGUUGAAAAACUUUGGGAAAGCUAUAAAACAAAAGGAUGUAAAUUGUGCGGUGGACUUAAAAAAUUAUGAAACAGACUACUACCCUACAUUAAUGUUUCCAAAUUCUCAAUUAACUUCAGGUUAUCUCUUGUCCUGCAAGGGAAACUGAUCCAGACAUUUACCAUGAAAUUUUAUUUAAUUUUAUAUUUAUUGAAAUGAAUACUAAUCCUACAUUCUAAAAAGUAAGUUUAUUUUUUUCUAUUGUUAUUUAAGUCUGAGCCUCCUUUCAUUUUUAACACAGGGGGAACAGUAUCUGACAGUAUUUUAAAUGGUCAACUUGAAUGAUAUCAGCCUGGAAAUCACAGGACUUAUCUGUUGUGGCGAAAGAAUAAAGGAGUAUGACUCUCAAAGAUGUGUGAACCUCCUUUCAUUUUGAACACAGGGGGAACAGUGUCUGACAGUAAUAUUCCAAGCUGUCAGGAUGCGUUCCCCCUGUUGUAAGUGGUCCAAUUGAAUGAUAUCAACCUGAAAAUCACAGAACUAAUCUGUUGUGGGGAAAGAACUCAGGAGUAUGAAUUUCAAAGAUGUGUGAGCCUCAUUUCAUAUUAAACAGAGGGGGAACAGUAUCUGACAGUAAUAUUCCAAGCUGUCAGGAUGCAUGAAUUCUGGAAUUCUGACUUUGGUCUGAGAGUUCUACAAUUCUGACUUUGAUUUAAGAAUUCUAGAAUUCUGACUUUGAUCUCAGAAUUCUAUACAUCUUACUUUAAUCUUAGCUUUCUGACUUUAUUCUCAGAAUACUAAUUUUAAUAUCAGAAUUCUGACUUGAAUCUCAGAAUUCUGAGUUCACUCUGAGAAUUCUGACUUUAAAGUCAGAACUCAAAAAAGUCACAUGUGUCCCUAAUCAUCUUCCAUCCAAGCUAAUCUCAGAAUUCUGCCUUUAAUCUCAGAAUUCUAGAAUGCUGUCGAUCAUCUCAGAAUUGUAGAAUUCUGACUUUGAUAUCAGAAUUCAACAAUUCUGACUUUGAUCUCAGAAUCCUCAAAUUCUGUGUUUGAUCUCAGAAUUCUAGAAUUCUGUCUUUCAUAUCAGGAUUCUAGAAUUCUGUCUUUAAAAAGAGGGGGAGCAGUAUCUGAAAGUAGAAUUCCAAGCUGUCAGGAUGUGUUCCCCCUGUUCCAAAUGGUCAAAUUGAAUGAAAUCAGCAUUGCAUUGCAUGAUAUCAUCAUGAAAAUCACAGAAUUUAUCUAAUGUGGGGAAAGAAGUCAGGAGUAUGAAUUUCUAGAAUUCUGACUUUGAUCCUAGAAUUCUAGAAUUCUGACUCUGAUCUCAGAAUUCUAGAAUUAUGAUACUAGAAUACUACAAUAUGAAUUUCAAGGAUCUGUGAGCCUCCAUUCAUAUUAAACAGAGGGGGAACAGUAUCUGACAGUAGUAUGCCAAGCUGUCAGGAUGCGCUCCCUCUGUUGUAAAUGGCAAAAGAAGGGAGGCAACACACAGACCUGUUGACCAAAAAGUAAUUUAUUUAACUCAAACCAACAUAAAUGUUAAGUAACUAGUGGGGUAUGUACAAUAGGAAAGGUAUCAGUCGUAUUAGCAGUGUAUGGAUGUGUGAAGAUAUGGUGUAUGGUGUGUUGUGAAGUGCAUCAACCCAUCAACCCUCGCCCAGAAAGGCAGGUACAGGUAGAUGACCCUCCCAGCUCCAUCUACCUCUGCAAGAAAACAGUCAGAGCAUGUCAGACCACCAAUUCAAGAGGAGGAGAGGUCGUCACAAUGGUCGAAUUGAAUGAUAUCAGCCUGAAAAUCACGAAACUUAUCUGUUGUGGAGAAAGAAGUAAGGACUAUAAAUUUCAAAGAUAUGUGAGCCUCCUUUCAUAUUGAACAGAGGGAGAAGAGCAACUAACAAUAAUAUUCCAAGCUGUCAGGAUGUGUUCCCCCUGUUGUAAAUGGUAAAAUAGAAUGAUAUCGGCCUGAAAAUCACAGAACUUUUCUGUCAUGGGGAAAGAAGUCAGGAGUAUGAAUUUCAAAGAUGUGUGAGCCUCGUUUCAUAUUAAUCUCAGAAUUCUAGAAUUCUUUCUUGAAUUUCAGAAUUCUAGAAUGCUGUCUUUCAUCUCGGAAUUCUAGAAUUUUGAUUUUGAUCUCAGAAUUCUAGAAUUCUGACUUUUUUCUAAGAAUUCUGAUGUUUUUUCUCAGAAUCUUGAGUUCAUUCUCAGAAUUCUGACUUUAAAGUCAGAACUCACAAAAAUGUCACAUGUUGCCCUAAUCAACUUCCAUCCAUGCCAAUCUCAGAAUACUGCCUUUGAUCUCAGAAUUAUACAAUUCCGUCUUUAAUCUCAGAAUGCUAGAAUGCUGUCGUUCACCUCAGAAUUCUAGAAUUCUGACUUUGAUCUCAGAAUUCUACAAUUCUUACUUUAAUCUUAUCUUACUGACUUCAUUCUCAGAAUACUAAUUAUAAUGUCAGAAUUGUAACUUCAAUCUCAGAAUUCUGACUUUUUUCUCAUACUCAUGACUUCAUUCUCAGAAUGCUGACUUUAAAGUCAGAACUCACAGAAAUGUCACAUGUGGCCCUAAUCAUCUUCCAUACAUGUUAAUCUCAAAAUUCUAGGAUGCUGUCUUUAAUCUCAGAAUUCUUUAAUUAUGACUUUAAUCACAGAAUUAUGAAUUUAAAUUCAGACCUAAAAAAAAUGUCACAUGUGGCCCUAAUCAUCUUCCAUACAGGAUAAUCUCAGAAUUCUAAAAUUCUGACGUUGAUCUCAGAAUCCUAGAAUUGUUUCUUUGAUCUCAGAGUUCUAGAAUGCUGAUUUUUAAUCUCAGAAUUUUUUUUUUGGCCUUUUCUGGCUUUAUUGAUAGUACAGCUGAAGAGUGUGACAGGAAACAAGGUGGAUGAGGUCUGUGGACUCAACAUGAUGAUGCAUACGAGUGUCACAAUGGCUGGGCAUGCCUCCAAUAUGCAUAUGUGCAACCAACUUGGGUGCCCGCUAAAGGGAAAUCCUGUUGAGCCUUUAAAAAACAUUCUUCCCACAUCCGGUGACUGGUGACAGGGUGUAAUAACCAGCACUACAGGUCAGAUCAACUGGACAAACACUGUUCAUCUGAAUACUGUCCAAACUAAAGAUGGAUUGCAUGCUGCCAACAAGGUAUCACCUGUGAAUUUUGACUCACAGAUGAUGAUGGUGCCCCUGGCUGCACAGACACUGAGUCGCUCUGUGACAGUAGCUCUGUGCACACUGAGGGACCUUGGCUAUUCAACACUGGGAUGCAACAGCUGACUUCAUUGAGGUAAUACUGACAUGACAACAGAGAAGGCAAACAUGCACCUUUUAACAGAAGUAGGUCAAUCUUAAAUUCCCUCUAGAACAGCCCGUGUUAUGAUUUUAACAAUAACCUUAUUAACAAUACGAUCAAAGGGCCACCAGUUGAACUGGUCUGCUAUUGAGUGUUUUAUCUACAUUAAUUUUCUGCAAUUAUGUUCAGAUCUAAAAUAUGGGGGCGCAGUUUAGCUCAGCUGGUAGAGCAGGCGUCCCAUGUACAGAGGCUUUGUCCUUGCUGCAGCGGACCAUUUGCUGUGUCUCUCACCCUGUCUCCUGUCAUCUUCUUCAGCUGUACUAUCAAUAAAGGCCAAAAAAAAAUA